AUUGAACGCUGGCGGCAGGCCUAACACAUGCAAGUCGAGCGAGCGGCGGACGGGUGAGUAAUGUAUGGGGACUGCCCGAUAGAGGGGGCUAACUACUGGAAACGGUGGCUAAUACCGCAUACUAUCGGAUAACCCAUAUGGGAUUAGCUAGUAGGUGGGGUAACGGCUCACCUAGGCGACGAUCCCUAGCUGGUCUGAGAGGAUGAUCAGCCACACUGGGACUGAGACACGGCCCAGACGCCUACGGAGGCAGCAGUGGGGAAUAUUGCACAAUGGGCGCAAGUCUGACGCAGCAAUGCCGCGUGUAUGAAGAAGGCCUUAGGGUUGUAAAGUACUUUCAGCUGGGAGGCGUUACCUGCAUAGGAAGCACCGGCUAACGCCGUGCCAGCAGCCGCGGUAAUUC
rnacentral:rRNA from 1 species